UGUUAAAAAGCUCGUAGUUGGAUCUCGGCGGACUGAGGGCGGUUUGCUUGCUAGUAUUACUGCCCUAUAGUCCGUAGUUUUGCCAGAGGUUUCGGGGUGCUCUUAAUCGAGUGUCCCGGGAUGCUGGCAGGUUUACUUUGAAAAAAUUAGAGUGCUCAAAGCAGGCUAUUACGCCUGAAUAUUCGUGCAUGGAAUAAUAGGAUAGGAAGUCGUUUCUAUUUUGUUGGUUUUCGGAAAUCGACUUAAUGAUUAAUAGGGACAGUCGGGGGCAUUUGUAUUCAAACGACAGAGGUGAAAUUCUUGGACCGUUUGAAGACAAACUACUGCGAAAGCAUUUGCCAAGAAUGUUUUCAUUAAUCAAGAACGAAAGUUAAAGGUUCGAAGGCGAUUAGAUACCGCCCUAGUUUUAACCAUAAACGAUGCCAGCUAGCGAUCUGCGGACGUUUUUUUUGUAGACUCCGCAGGAAGCUUCCGGGAAACCAAAGCAUUUGGGUUCCAGGGGAAGUAUGGUUGCAAAGCUGAAACUUAAAGGAAUUGACGGAAGGGCACCACCAGGAGUGGAGCCUGUGGCUUAAUUUGACUCAACACGGGAAAUCUCACCAGGCCCGGACACUGGAAGGAUUGACAGAUUGAUAGCUCUUUCUUGAUUCGGUGGGUGGUGGUGCAUG
rnacentral:rRNA from 1 species